AGAAUGAACGCUAGCGAUAUGCUUAACACAUGCAAGUUGAACGUUGUUUUCGAAUCAGGAUGAGAACAAAGUAGCGAACGGGUGCGUAACACGUGGGAAUCUGCCGAACAGUUUGGGCCAAAUCCCGAAUGAAUAAAAGCUAAAAAGCGCUGUUUGAUGAGCCCACGUAGUAUUAGGUAGUUGGUUAGGUAAAAGCUGACCAAGCCUACGAUGCUUAGCUGGUCUUUUCGGAUGAUCAGCCACACUGGGACUGAGACACGGCCCAGACUCCUACGGGAGGCAGCAGUGGGGAAUCUUGGACAAUGGGCGAAAGCCUGAUCCGGCAAUAUGGCGUGAGUGAAGAAGGGCAACGCAGCUUGUAAAGCUCUUUCAUCGAGUGUGCGAUUGUGACAAGACUCGAAUAAGAAGCCCCGGCUAACUCCGUGCCAGCAGCCGC
rnacentral:rRNA from 1 species